rnacentral:rRNA from 1 species
UACGAAGGGGGCUAGCGUUGCUCGGAAUUACUGGGCGUAAAGGGCGCGUAGGCGGCGCUGUUAGUCAGGCGUGAAAUUCCUGGGCUCAACCUGGGGACUGCGCUUGAUACGGCAGUGCUUGAGGAUGGAAGAGGCUCGCGGAAUUCCCAGUGUAGAGGUGAAAUUCGUAGAUAUUGGGAAGAACACCGGUGGCGAAGGCGGCGAGCUGGUCCAUUACUGACGCUGAGGCGCGACAGCGUGGGGGAGCAAACGAGG